GACGAACGCUGGCGGCGUGCCUAAUACAUGCAAGUAGAACGCUGAAGAGAGGAGCUUGCUCUUCUUGGAUGAGUUGCGAACGGGUGAGUAACGCGUAGGUAACCUGCCUGGUAGCGGGGGAUAACUAUUGGAAACGAUAGCUAAUACCGCAUAAAAUUGAUUAUUGCAUGAUAAUUAAUUGAAAGAGGCAACUGCAUCACUACCAGAUGGACCUGCGUUGUAUUAGCUAGGUGGGGAGGUGACGGCGCACCAAGGCGACGAUACAUAGCCGACCUGAGAUGGUGGUCGGCCCCACUGGGACUGAGACACGGCCCAGACUCCUUCGGGAGGCAGCCGUAGGGAAUCUUCGGCAAGGGGGGGAACCCUUACCGCGCAACGCCGCGUGCGUGAAGAAGGGUUUCGGAUCGUAAAGCUCGGUUGUAAGAGAAGAACGGGUGUGAGAGUGGAAAGUUCACACUGUGACGGUAUCUUACCAGAAAGGGACGGCUAACUACGUG
rnacentral:rRNA from 1 species